rnacentral:ncRNA from 1 species
AACAUUGCUUUGAUAAGGACAUGAAUCAUACUUUAUUUUCUUCCAGAGAACAGGGUCAUUGGCUGUAAGCCCUGUAGAAAAAUGUUUGAUUUACCACCUUUGAGCUUUUAUGGGGAAAAGCCUUGCUUAGUAUCCAUAAACGGGAAAACCGUUAUCUUUAUGAGCGUAAAGUAGAUUUUGCUUUGCGAAAUUAGGGUGGCACCACGACCGCACUCGUCCCUUUG